CGCGGGGCGGUGUUGCUUUACGGCAGCGCCAGGCCGCGGGAUCCGCCGGGAUGAAGCAGAAAAGGAAACAUGGGAAAGGGGAGCCGAGCCAGGCGGAGCUGAUGGUGAUGAGCAUCGCGGAGAUCAUCCGGCAGCUGCUGGAGGCGCACGAGCAGGGCCGGGACCUGGAUCUCAACAAGCUGAAGACCAAACCCUCAGCCAGGUUCAGCAGCUGU